AUUGAACGCUGGCGGCAGGCCUAACACGUGCAAGUCGAGCGGAGCGGCGGACGGGUGAGUAAUGCCUAGGAAUCUGCCUGGUCGUGGGGGAGAACGUCCGGAAACGGGCGCUAAUACCACAUACUAUCAGAUGAGCCUAGGGGGGCUUCGCUAGUUGGUGGGGUAAAGGCCUACCAAGGCGACGAUCCGUAGCUGGUCUGAGAGGAGGAUCAGUCACACUGGAACGGAGACACGGUCCAGACUCCUACGGGAGGCAGCAGUGGGGAAUAUUGGACAAUGGGCGAAAGCCUGAUCCAGCCAUGCCGCGUGUGUGAAGAAGGUCUUCGGAUUGUAAAGCACUUUAAGUUGGGAGGCGGUACCAACAGAAGAAGCACCGGCUAACUUCGUGCCAGCAGCCGCGGUAAUAC
rnacentral:rRNA from 1 species